rnacentral:tRNA from 1 species
CGAAGUUGUAGUUUAAUAAAAUAUUAGCAUUGGAAGCUAAAGUUUAGGUGGCAAUCCUACUCUUCGA